CUCCUACCGAUCGCUCUUGUUAAUGAGCUUGUCGGAUUGGACCCGGUGAGCAGUCGUUGCGCUCCAUCUCCUCGCGGGGUGGGCCUUCGUCUGCGAGCUUUGGUGUUUGCCGAGAAGAUCGGCAAAUUAUCUGGAGUAGAGGAAGUAAAAGUCGUAACAAGGUAUCCGUAGGUGAACCUGCGGAUGGAUCAUUACUGUUUAAUA
rnacentral:rRNA from 1 species